CACAGACACACACACAGACGUUGCUGUCAGGUGUUGAUAUUCGUGCAUACACACUGCACCUCUGCGCUGCGUGUUUUGAAAACACACAAACGGCGGGUGUGUUUUGUAUAAUUCUACGUUGCCAGUAAUGUCCAUCAGUAAGCCGUCAAGACAGACUGACUGCGUCUUGUGUGUCAGUAAGGGCUCAUCCGCACGCACUGCGGCGUGUCAGAACUGUCGGCGCAACAGUAAGCCACAAAACAACAGUGAUUCAAUUCGGAUUAAGGUCUGAGCAUACACAAGGUCCAACACACAUUUUACCAACCUCCUCCUCUUUCUUCAACUCUUCGCACACCCGGAAUCCCCCUCAGAUCAUUUGAAAAACGUCGCUUUCCGAAUCGAUUUCUGAUUGGCUUUAUACGCUUUCCACGGCGAGCUCCGCUAUUUUUGUCUCGAUGUGCCGUCACACUUUUGCGUUUGUCACUCGUCAGGAUCUCCAUCCAGCCAUCCAUUUUCUGAUCCGCUUUUAUCCUCACAAGGGACCAAAAAAAGUUAGUUGUUUUAUUUAUCUGACUUUUAUCCUUUCAAAUAUUGGAAUCGGGCUCGUCAUUACUGUUCAUACCGUAUUAUUUGUUUGGAAUGUGUACCUUUAAGGGGUGUGGCCAUCCGGCGGUCCAUUUUGAAACUCACAAAACGAAAAAUCAACCAAACGGCAUCUCGCAACUCGACAAACUCUGAAGUCGGUUCACUCAUAUGUCAAGAUCGCUCUGUUUAUGCGUUACGGACGAGCAGCUGCAAUAAAUCGAGCAGCCUCUGUCCCGCUGCCCCACGCGGUGUUUGUCUUCCCAUCCACACAGCCGAGGAAAAAACCCGUUUGCGAAGAGAUUCCUUCACACUAGAAGCCGCUUGGCGUGAAUGGAACAUUAUUCUCGCUCGCCGUUUGCUUUGGAUCGGCCCAGAUGUUGGGGCUUGGACGGCUCGGACGGAGGCGUGUAAAGCGGCUGCAGGCAGACGUACUUUCAGGCAUCAUCUGUUUCCUUUGUGGGGUUCAGGUAGCAGGCAGCAUGAGCUCAGACUUGCCACGCCGCGUCUUGUUUCUGGGACUCUUCUCAGAUGCGUUCGCAAGCAUCGGAAACGACGAAUUAGGCUCUGUUUGGCAUGGUCAGCAUCAUCUGAAACGUGUAAAGCCUCAAACCUCUCCUGUUGUGUUUGCGUUGGCUUCAGCGUUCCCUGUUCUGUCCUUGAUGCAUGUGGCGUUUGUACAAAUCUCUCCGCCUGCGCUGCAUCGAUCAUAAUCGAGUUCUUGAUUGAGGUGAAAUGUAAUCAAAAAGUUGCGUGCAACCAGACAGUUCAAAUAUGUACAUGAUAGCUGGUCUAGGGGCCGACUGCCUUUUUCGACCAACUGACGCCCACCAAGAUUGUUUUAUUCAACCAAGACUAACGAAAUAAACAAAAAUUGUAAAAAAA